UGUAGCUAGCGGCUACCGUGCUUGAGAGCACAGAGAACUGAAAAGGUUUUCUUUGCCUCAAUAAAAGCAGAAAGUGCUGAAAGGAGAAAACGAGCUGAUUCCACUCUGCUCCCAGUGGAAAAUCCCCUAUUUGCUCAUAGUUUUAAUGAAAAGAGAGGAGGGAAAAUUAUCGUGAUGUAUCAUCAAGUUAGAAUUAUAAAAAUUAGGGGCUCUAAGGGACAAAAUAAAACAUUGCCAUCUCUGGAAUCUUUCUAAUGGGAUCUGUCUUUUCCAGCAGCUCUAAAAGCAGAGCGAAGCCUACCCCUGCCCCCACCACACUUACAGGUUGGCAGCAAUGGCCAGAGGAAGUAUUUUACAAGCGGGAGACCUAGGCCAGGAUUUACCCAAGGCCCCAGAAGCUUGGCAGAGCAAAGUACGCAAGGUGCCUAUCACCAAAACAGGACUCUCUUUACCAAAUCAAGCAUGUGAUCUCAAGUUACCAGUCCAGCCUGCCCCUGAAAUAAGACCAUCAUAGCGUUAGAAAGGCUUUGCUUAAAGGAAGAAUUCUGGUAUACUUUGCUCAUGACCAGAACCAUCUGGAAGCAAUCUAGCAUUCACAAGAUGGACUUUUCUUCUUUGGCCCUUGCUCUCUCUACAAAUCCCAUCAGCCCAGGAACAGCUGCCGGAGAAUCUGGCCUGGCGCCAUGGGUGAAGUUUCAGCCCCCUCCCACACACAUGUCCUUCUGGGUCCCUGGCUUGCUUGCCACCCCAUGUGGCUGGACAUGGCACAAAGUACGCUGGUCCUACUUGAGAAAGCGAAAUAGCUAGCGGUCACAGGAGCAGAGACUUGGUGCCACAAAGCCAGCUGUGAGAAACUGCUGUUUCAACUCGGUAACACAGACACUCGCCAGUAAAUUACAGCCUGAGACAUCUCAGAGGGCUGCGGGUCGGGAUACGCUGCUCUCAAGGCAACACAAUGCCAGCUACAGCGUGCAUCCUGCAACAGCAGCUCAACACAAAGGGACGGGGAGGAUGGGCCCCAGCGUGAGGAUUCUGGCACCGGGACCAAUGACACCAUGCACAGGAGGAUCGUCAAGACACCGGUCCUGGUCCUGGUGGAUAGACAGCCCUUGCUUAAAUGUACACCGAAGCUCGAAACGGAAUUAUCAUGUCUAAUUAUCCUGAAGAAAAGCUGACUGGCACCUUGUGUAAGAACCCCAACAAAGAGUCAGAAACCUG